CCCGGGCGGGCUGUGGUUCGCCGCGGCUGGGGUGUCCUUUCGGGAUUCGUGUCGCAGCCUGAGGGCCUGGCCGGCCGCCGUCUCCGCGGGGCCAGACGCCUGAGCUCUUGCCCGGCUCAGGGGCUGCGGUGAGGAGCGUCCCGCAGUCUCCUGGGCUGGCCCGGUGGUGGAAGCAGAACCGGAAGCGACGGGCUCGGCGGGGAUGGAACCUGGCUAAUUGAGGUUCCAAAGAUCCUUUCUCUCGACCCAGUGCUUUGUGCCAUUUAGCAGAGACUGAAAAUUUAAGCAUCACAGGGCCUCACCCAGGCUCAUUUCAGUGGGCCAAACCAGAAGGCAGUAGAGAGAGUUACUAGAAAUAGAGGCUGCUGCACAGAUGGUCUCCAAGAACUUGGGGACAAGACUCUGAAGUAAAUAAGUAAAAGUCCAUACUCCUGUGCGACGAACUUCCUGAAGGGACCCACCUGAGAAGCAAACUGGAAAGAAGUUUAAAACCGUCUCCAUGCCAGCUUUGAUCCUGCAAACGGACCAUGAGAAAUUUAACCCAGACAGAUGUGUGCGCUACAUUGUGCACUGUAAACCUAUCCCAUAAAUGGUAAUUCAAUUUGUUGCAAUAGGGGCUGCUUAAUUAGAGCACAUUAUAGUAACGGGAUACUGUGAUACCAUGUACACACACAAAACCAAAGAAUAUUUAAUAACAUGGGGAAAUAUUUCUGGAAAUGCAGAUUACUAAAUAAUAGGCACAGUAUGCCAGUUUCUGCCCAGUUUUCUGAUGUAUCUUUUCAGAGAUAAAACUAUGUAUCCAUAAGCAUAUCUGUAUGUCUCAGUGAUGUAUUUUGGAAACUGUUCCUUCUAUACAUAGAUCUACUGUAUCUCAUUCUUCUUAACAUCUGCAUAUAGGUAAUUUUUUAGCUUUGACAAUGUUUUUCAAACUUAGAAAACCAUAUAGACAAUAAAAGUUAUUUAAAAAGCAGUGGGUGAUUGAGUAAAUCUAGGCCCAUCCAGACCUAUCAUCUCAGUAAAGCCAAAACUUGGUGUGACAGUCACCUCAUCACCUGCAGUAACUGAACCCCAUGUGGUCAACUAACUGAGCCCACAGGAGGAACGAUGUGGAAACAAGGUCCGGUCCUGCCCAGGGGCACAGAGCAUUUCUUGGGCCUGAUGAUACUUCAGCAGGCAGACCUCUGGCCACAAAGCAGUUGCCCUUGGGAGAGACGCAAGAGUAUUGCAGUCUCUGGGAGAGGACAUCCUCGUAUGAGAGUGGACUUGUCUGAACAGCGGGGCUGUUCCUACAGCUGGCUCUGCAGAGCAGUUCCCUGCUUGAGGUGGCAGCCCUGUCCCAGGCAGAGCCUCAAAAGGUCCUGCUGGGACUCUUUCACCAGGGACUGCAGGAAAUGUUUCUCUCAGGAUUGGUUCCUGAGAACUAUGGAGUGGGUAGUGGGCUUUGGAGGCAGAUGUAGGCAGCUGUGUGAUCCCAGACAACAGUCAUGUGACUUAUUUUUGGGACUUCAUCAUCAUCUGUAAAAUAAGGUUAAUAAAACAAAAAGAGGAUUGUGUGUCAAAAACCCACCGCUGUCGGGCAUGCUGUGGGCUCAGUACUAGCCGUUAUUUCUCAGGAGUGUGCUUCGUAAGCCCAGCUGCCACACAUUCUUGGGUUUUCCAUGUUAUUCUAUUCAAUAAAGGUGUGUCAUUAA